rnacentral:lncRNA from 1 species
AAUUCUAUAAUAUUCAACCUCUUUUUCAUAUCAUUUUCGUGCUCUAUUUAUAUGAGCUUAUUACAUGAUGAUUUUGACUCUAAAACUCUUAGAAAAUGAAAGAAAAUGCAACCACUAAUUACAAUAAUGUUUUGGUGGCUGAUUAAUGCAAAUAAAAUGUUACAAAAUGACUCUCUAAGUUGGUGGCUAAUCAAUGCAUGAGGAGGUUACAUAUUCAUUUGCACAUUGAUUUGUGAAGGCUAAUUAUUUCUAGACGUUACAAUUCCACAAACACCUUUAAUUCUUCAGCUUACACACUUUAACCACGUUUUCAACUUACAACUCAUUUUACACCAUUAAAUAUUUCGAAUUUGAUCUUGAGUCAAACAGAUGAAAUGUAGAGAAUUUCGUAAGCUUUCCAACGAGUUAAAGAUCACCUCAAACGGACAUCCAGAGCUCCAGAUAUAGCCAAAACAAGACAGACAUAUCAUGACCUACGAAAAUAAAACUUUGAACCCAAAAUUAAUUUGGUUCUUUUAUUCCACAAUGACUUUAUUAUUCUUGUCAAGAGAGAUAAUUUUAGGAUCACAUCAUACUCUCCCUCUUCAAGAGAAUUCGACCUCGAAUUUAUAGCUUGAAUACCUCCUGGGUCAAAAAUAAAUCUAUGGAAUCCAUCACAUGUAACUUUAACUUUAGAGAGCUCUUCACUUUUAUUGGAAGAAUUAGUUUUCUUUUCAUCCACUUUUGAUUUAUGGACAUGAUCAUCGUUCCAAAUCACAUAAUUUUCUUCCACCUGUUGAGAAAAAGUUUCUUCAUUCUCUUUGUUUCCUUCAUGACAUAAAGAAAUGUUAGGCAAUUGAAUAAUAUUAGAAGAAGAAUCCCAACAUUUAAAAACACAAACCAACUUAGAAGAAGGUACUAGUGUAAUAGUAGGCCAAAACUUCCCAACAUUAUUCUCUUUACUAUCCUUCUCAUUCUCCUUUUCUUCUCCUUUUUCCUCUACUUCUUUUUCGUCACUUUCUUUUGUCUCUUCUCUUUCCUUUUCACAUUCUUCUUCGUGAGUUUCCUUUACAAUGAGACUCUUUUUUUCUUCAAUAUUUAUUUUAGGCUCUAUAUAAUGAUUUUGGAUUUGAAAGAGAUUUUCCUCUAGUAUUUUAGAGAUAUCAGCCAUUCCUCUAUCAAUUAUUGCCAUCAUUUUCUCUCUCCUAUUUCUUUGUAACUCUUUAAGAGGAGAAGAAGGACUUGAUCUCCUCUUGAUAUCCUCAAGCAUUUUCUCUCUCCAUACUUUAUCAAAAUAUUCUAUUGAAGCUUGGAUUUCUUGAGACAUUUUUUUUUUCUUUCAAACUUUGAUGUAGAACAACAAAAAUCAAAUAAAUUAAAAGGAUAGAAAACACCUGAUUUGAACCUAAGCUCUGAUUACCAAAUGAUGAGUGCUACGGAGCCGUCGGAAGCAAAUUAUGAAUAUUGUUGGUGGAAAUGGUGAGAAGACUAAAAGAUGAAGAAAUGGAAUGGAUAGACAGGGACGCCACACUUUCUAAUCCAAGAAAGUGAUAAGUCUAUGGAUGCGAGGAUCGCCACAAGAAAUAUGAUUUCUUGAUAAGAUCAAGGAUGGUUCAAUCCAGAACCACAAGAGACAAAGCUCUCAAUACACAUAUGUGUAAAAUUCUAUAAUAUUCAACCUCUUUUUCAUAUCAUUUUCGUGCUCUAUUUAUAUGAGCUUAUUACAUGAUGAUUUUGACUCUAAAACUCUUAGAAAAUGAAAGGAAAUGCAACCACUAAUUACAAUAAUGUUUUGGUGGCUGAUUAAUGCAAAUGAAAUGUUACAAAAUGACUCUCUAAGUUGGUGGCUAAUCAAUGCAUGAGGAGGUUACAUAUUCAUUUGCACAUUGAUUUGUGAAGGCUAAUUAUUUCUAGACGUUACAAUUCCACAAACACCUUUAAUUCUUCAGCUUACACACUUUAACCACGUUUUCAACUUACAACUCAUUUUACACCAUUAAAUAUUUCGAAUUUGAUCUUGAGUCAAACAGAUGAAAUGUAGAGAAUUUCGUAAGCUUUCCAACGAGUUAAAGAUCACCUCAAACGGACAUCCAGAGCUCCAGAUAUAGCCAAAACAAGACAGACAUAUCAUGACCUACGAAAAUAAAACUUUGAACCCAAAAUUAAUUUGGUUCUUUUAUUCCACAAUGACUUUAUUAUUCUUGUCAAGAGAGAUAAUUUUAGGAUCACAUCAUCUCUUCUCCCUCCUUUAGCUUGUGUUGACAAGCUAUUCUUUUCUUCUUCCUCUUUUUCUGUCCCGUCGGAUUUCAAGAAUGUUCUUAAGACCAUAGUCCCUUUGAGAUAUAAU